AGUGAACGCUGGCGGUAGGCCUAACACAUGCAAGUCGAACGGCAGCACAGUAAGAGCUUGCUCUUACGGGUGGCGAGUGGCGGACGGGUGAGGAAUACAUCGGAAUCUACUUUUUCGUGGGGGAUAACGUAGGGAAACUUACGCUAAUACCGCAUACGACCUACGGGUGAAAGCAGGGGAUCUUCGGACCUUGCGCGAUUGAAUGAGCCGAUGUCGGAUUAGCUAGUUGGCGGGGUAAAGGCCCACCAAGGCGACGAUCCGUAGCUGAUCUGAGAGGAUGAUCAGCCACACUGGAACUGAGACACGGUCCAGACUCCUACGGGAGGCAGCAGUGGGGAAUAUUGGACAAUGGGCGCAAGCCUGAUCCAGCCAUACCGCGUGGGUGAAGAAGGCCUUCGGGUUGUAAAGCCCUUUUGUUGGGAAAGAAAAGCAGCAGGUUAAUACCCCGCUGUUCUGACGGUACCCAAAGAAUAAGCACCGGCUAACUACGUG
rnacentral:rRNA from 1 species